CACGGUGGUCUAGUGGUUAGAACGCUGGCCUUGUAAUCCUGGGGUCUCGGGUUCGAUUCCCGGCGGUG
rnacentral:tRNA from 1 species